UCAUCCCUUAGGAAACCCAAGAGACCUUGAGUUCAGUUAAGGAAGAAAGAGAGAGAGAGAGAAACAGAGAAAAGAAGAGAAAGAGAGAGAGAGAACAAGAGAAAGAGGAAGAGAGAGACAGAUUUAAUCUUUUAAUGAAUCUAACCUAUUGAAUAGAUCCAAUUUGAUUGAGUCUAGGUCAAUUUGAUAGACCUGGCUUAGAAAUUGACCCAAACCUCGGCCUAGACCUGGGCUAGACUAAGAGUUUCUUUCUAUUCAUCUCAAUUUUUUAAUUUUCUCUGA
rnacentral:lncRNA from 1 species